rnacentral:rRNA from 1 species
AGGGUUUGAUCAUGGCUCAGAACGAACGCUGGCAGCAGGCCUAACACAUGCAAGUCGAGCGCGCCUUCGGGUGAGCGGCGGACGGGUUAGUAACGCGUGGGAACGUGCCCUUCUCUACGGAAUAGCCUCUGGAAACGGAGAGUAAUACCGCAUACGCCCUUUGGGGGAAAGAUUUAUCGGAGAAGGAUCGGCCCGCGUUAGAUUAGAUAGUUGGUGGGGUAACGGCCUACCAAGUCUACGAUCUAUAGCUGGUUUUAGAGGAUGAUCAGCAACACUGGGACUGAGACACGGCCCAGACUCCUACGGGAGGCAGCAGUGGGAAUCUUAGACAAUGGGCGCAAGCCUGAUCUAGCCAUGCCGCGUGAGUGAUGAAGGCCUUAGGGUCGUAAAGCUCUUUCGCCUGUGAUGAUAAUGACAGUAGCAGGUAAAGAAACCCCGGCUAACUCCGUGCCAGCCGCCGCGGUAAUAC